UGCACACUUCAUGGGGAGGCAAGGAACUAGGAGGCGAUGGGGUCGGAUCUGGUGGUGCUAGGUCGGAGCUCGAUCCCCCGCCUCCCGAACCAGCCGUCGCCGCGUCGCUGGGGCUCGUCCGCCGCGGGUUUCCAUGGGGAAUCACCACAACAGCAGCACGCCUCCCUCCUUCCUCCUCAUCGCCAGAGCCGCCGCACCUCUCCUUCCUCCUCGCUCUCACCCUUGCCGCGGCGCGCAUCCCUCCCCUUUCGAUCUAAUUUCAUUCUUGUUUCACAUGUUGGUUUGGUUGGCAAGAGACGUUGCAGCGCCGACUGCAGUAGCCAGGGUUGGCGUUGGUGAUGUCUGUAGGUAUUUUCGUCCUUGCUAGUCACACAUUUCCUAGGUUAUGGGAUUGGAUAUCCGUUUUCUAAGAUUCUUAGCUGAUAAGUAUAUUGUGCGGAAAAGUCUCUACAGAAUGAUGUUGUGCACAUCCAAAUCCAAGCAAUCUGGAUACUCCAUGGGGCAAAGUUGAAGCUUUGUACAUCACUUCUCUCCCUUUGUUUAUUAACGUUUCUUCAUGUUUGGAAGUGAUAUGGGUUUCCAUGUACUUGAUAGAUGCAUUCCUUAUCUUUAUGUGUUUCAUCUAUGUAUAUAUGUUUCUGCCCAUAAAUGUAUUUAUGAGCUGACUCCAUUUUUUACCGCUUUUCUGUGGCAAUUUGAAAAGGACCCUUCCAUGGUGCUCAGCCACCGUCCGAUUUCGAGGGAGAAUAGGAGACACCGACGAAAGCGAGUGUCCUAGCGGCGAACCCAAGGAUGCGUGGUGAUUAUGCCAGCUCCAUGCUCCAGUUCUUCUAUUGGGGGUUCGCUCAAUUCAUGUGCUUGGGAUUUGUUUUGAUUGACGGACCUUAAAGCUAAUGCAAUAAUGCAUGAACUUGCCAAAAGGACACUCUGUUUAUCAGGGUCGUUUUAGUUUUCAAGUGUCAUCAGUGAUACAUGGAUGGAUGGUGUCGUCACUGCUCCACUGCCCCAUGUUUUGGUUGUUUUGGUCCACGCUUGAGGCAAGAAAACCAAAUAUGCACCAUGUCGAUAUGCUUCAUGACGAAACCACUUGCUUUCAUAUGUAUUGGACUACUGCAUCAUCGUCUUCGUCAAUGGGAGGAUGAAAUCAGUAGUAGCACCAGCCCGCUAGCGAGGAAGGCUGCUCGGAUCUGCUGUCGUGCCCACCUACAACUUCUGUAGGUUGUUCGACCACUUAGAGAACUUCUGGUGGCCAUAAGCAAUCUUAGUUGCUCACUGUGAUAAUCUGAAUGUAUGCAGUUUCCCUCUUUGCAUGUGUGCUUCCGUGUCUUUCCUGGUAUAUUCUCAGUCUAUGGAAUGGUCAUAUUAGGCAUGUAGUUUAUUUUAUUUUUUGUAUAAAAGCUUGGUACUAACAUACAAAUAUGAUUAUUUUUUCAAUUUCUCAAUGUGGUGACCAUAUUUUCAACUA